UCUGCGUCACCAAAUUGAUGGAAAAGACCCCAAAAUUGCCGAGUCCGAGCUGCGACCCAGCACUGCCGAGUGCCCCGGAGCACGCACCGACUGACACCGCCAGCCCUUCCCUGGGAACCUCCAGUGAGCAGCCCAUCCCAAUGAAUAAUCACCCUUUCUGUGAAGAAAUUCCUCUGAAUGUCCAGCCUAAACCUCCUCGGCACAGCUUGAGGCCGUGUGCUCCCAUCGUGUCCCUCGUUUCCUGGGAGCAGAGACCAAAGUCCCACUGGGCACACCGUGCUUUCGGGUGGCUGUAGAGCAGUGAGGUGCCCCCUGAGCCUCCUUUUCUCCAGACUCAACACCCCCAGUUCCCUGAGCUCACAGCACUGGCGCUUCAGACCCUUCCCCUGACUUGCUCCAGCCCGUCAAGGCCUUUUCCGAAGUGAGAGCCCGGAACUGGACAUGGCGUUCGAGUACAGAGGGACAGUCCCUGCCCUGCUCCUGCUGCCCACGCUGUUCCUGCUCCAGGCCAGGGUGCCACUGUUGGCCUGCUCGGACCUCACCGCGCUGGCCCCGUCCCACAGAAUCCCCUCACAAUCCCGUUUCCUGGAGCACCGGCGCGGGAAGAAGGGAAGGUGGCGGCAGCGCUCCCGCUGGCCUGCGGGGGCCGCUGGCGGGACGCGGCUCCCGGAGAUGUCCCGGGAUGUCCCUGCUGUGUCCUGGAGGAUGUCACGGAGAUGCCCUGGCGGCUCCCGCCUGUGCCGAGCCAGGCCCCCCGCUCCGACACCUCCCGUUCUGCGGGGUCAGAGUGACACAGAAUAGGCCAUGGCAGCAGCCGGCCCCCGGCAUCGCCCCUGCUUUGUGUGCCUGGGGAAGUCUGUCCCAUCCUGCAAGUGUCCAAAACCCGCGUGGAGAUGGCGCUUGAGGACAUGCUUUAAUGUUGAGAAUUGAGCUGCUUGAGUGGGAACAGAAAGGGUUGAAACCCCAUUUUCAGGAGGUCAAAAGCCCAAUAUAGAAACAGCUGCUGGUUAGUGGUGUGAAUUCCAGGAAAGGAUGUGGGUAACAGCAGCCAAGGCCAGGCAGAGAGGUGGACAGAACGACCUCAGAUACUGGCACUGACAGCUGCACUCAGGGCGAGGAAGCCAGCAGAAGACAAAGGGAGCGUUUCCAAAUUCCUCUGCACCACCCUGCUCUCGAGAGGUGGGGACUGAAAUUCUUUGAGAAGGAGCACAUGCAAACAGUUGCUAAAAGAGAUGUCCGGUUUACAACGCUGCGAUUGGCGCGGAAAGGGAAACUGCAGCAAAAACAUCCCGGAGCUUUGUUUUUCCCCAUCCGAAUUUCUCUACCACCACGGGAGCGUCUCACUUCAGUGCACAAGUCUGAACAUCCCUGCGAAGGGAGAGGAGGACAACCCGCACCUUCCAACCUGGUGGUGUGAGAGACAAAUUCAAGGCAGAAAGAGCUGGUCCUGCUUUACAGCUGGACAGUGCCAGCCCUGCAUGGGCACCCUCUGCCAGUGCCCACAAUUCAGCCCUGUCCUCCCCCUGCGGGAUCACCCAGAUAUUUGUCCUUCCUGGGAGUCCCAGCCACACACCAGGACAACGCCUUAAAUUCUACCCAAGCCCCAUAAUCACCAUUGCUCUCCUCCUGUUCUGCCUUUCUGAAGACAGUUCAUUGCCGAGUGAAAUUACCGAAAAGGAGGAAGAGAAAGGAAAGCUGCAGUUAGAAGGAAAGGGAUUCUCCCCUCACAAACAAACAGGCAAGAGACCCUGGGAGAGGGAAGUGUGGACAGCGGAGAGAUCGAAGCAGAGAUAGCAGGGCAGGAACUGCAAGCAGUGAAGAGAAAUAGAGACUAAACGGAGGGGUGGGAGGGGAGUAAAGAUAAGGUGAUAGAAAAUAGGAAGGAGGAGACAAAAAAAAGGGAGAGAGGAAAUGCACCCGCGGUGUCCCCCAGUUUGGGCGCGGAGGCACAGCUUGUUGCUUGUUGUCUCCCGAGCCCGGCGCUCCGGGAAGGACAGUAUCUGUUUAGAUUUGUGUCUAAAUUUAAACCCUGAUUGCCUUGCCUCCCCCUCCCCUCCCGUCCCUCCCUCCCUUCCUCUCACCCAC